rnacentral:lncRNA from 1 species
UUCUCCUGGGGUUCCGAGAACGUCACCAGGAAGGCCCGCAUCCUCGACGUGUGCUACAACGCGUCCAACAACGAGCUCGUGCGCACCAAGACUCUGGUGAAGGGCGCGGUGAUUGCGAUCGACGCCUCCGAGUUCCGCUCCUGGUACCAGCAGCACUACGGCAAGAAGAUCGGCAUCAAGGUGAAGGACGGCGUCAAGGUUGAGAGCGAGGACAUCGACGAGAAGCGCAGCAAGAGCGUCACCCAGAAGCUCAACAAGCGCAACAAGGGCCACGUCGUCGCCGAGAACAUUGACG